GCCGUGGUAGGUGGGGACAACGUUUCGAAAGAACGCUAAUACCGCAUACGUCCUACGGGAGAAAGCAGGGGACCUUCGGGCCUUGCGCUAUCAGAUGAGCCUAGGUCGGAUUAGCUAGUUGGUGAGGUAAUGGCUCACCAAGGCGACGAUCCGUAACUGGUCUGAGAGGAUGAUCAGUCACACUGGAACUGAGACACGGUCCAGACUCCUACGGGAGGCAGCAGAC
rnacentral:rRNA from 1 species